UUUACUCAGUUAGUUGUGCGGCGAGACCCGGAAACAUUGUUUUAUUAUUUUGUCACAUGGCUGAGAGAUUUCAAUAACAACAAAAAAUGGCGACAAUCACGUUGUUCGAUGUGGGUCUUGCUGCGUCAUUAAAACUAUUCACGUAAACACGGGAAUGAAACGCGCAAAAUGCAAAAAACAGCAACAAGCUUUCCCGACAACGUGGAGUUGAAUAUCUGGAACCAUUGAAAUGUGAUGAUUGCUUUCAAUAUUGUUCUUUCGCGUUUUAAACGUGUAUUUAAUGUAUAAGCUACCUGGUCUGCGCUUCACGAUUAUUGAAGGGUCCGAGAUACGCUAUUAUGAUAAUAUACUAAGUACAGUCUAUUGGGAGUUGUAUAUGCUAAUUGCAUUUUUACAGUUACGCAACCAAUGUUAUGUUUUGUUCGAUUGAACUGUUGUCUCAACCUUGCGUAGCAGGUUAUUUUUCAAGUAGGUGUUGGCAAGUGCUCCUGCAAUUCUGUGAUACCAAAACAGAACCAGCAAAUCGAGUUGUUUACAUGAAGCGGAGGGAGAAGGAGAUAGGGAGGAGCCUCCUCCGGCGGGCUACGCGACUGGACUGCUGGAGAGCCUUCGCGCACUGAGGGCGGAACCCCAAGAACCAUAACAAGUCCGACGUCAGCUAUGUGGUGUCCAUAAAUUAUGCAGUUCAAACACUACCGAGUAAACAGUGGUGACUUCGACCAAUUAACAAGGUUUUAUUCCUUUAGGCUACAUGUAUCUGUUGUAUAGGAAAUUAUCUUUCAAAGGGGUUUAUGAAAAAGCUGAUAUGCUACAGUAGUUACACAUGUAUUCAUGUGAGGUGAGAAAGAAACAUCUUACUAAUGGUAGUAAAAUACCUUUCUAGAAUUCUGUAAUGCCUGUGUGGAAUUCAUAGCACAUACACAAUUCACGAUUAUAUCCUGUGAAUAAUUACAAAGCUUUGCAGAUUUUGGUAACCUAUUAGAGAAACCUCUUUACAUUACUUCUGCAUGCAAUUGUGUUCUCGUUCUUGUAAUGUGAUACCAUGAAAUACAUAAAUACAGACAUGAUAUUUGGAUUUCA